UUGGUGCAAAGCAGAACCUUAGCCUCCAA
rnacentral:piRNA from 1 species